rnacentral:rRNA from 1 species
UACGGAAGGUGCAAGCGUUAAUCGGCAUCACUGGGCGUAAAGCGCACGUGGGCCGUCCCCUAAGACGGGCGUGAAAGCCCUCGGCUCAACCGAGGAACUGCGCUCGAUACUGGAAGACUUGAGUUCUGGAGGGGGAGGCGUAAUUCCCGGUGUAGGAGUGAAAUCCGUAGAAAUCGGGAGGAACACCAGUGGCGAAGGCGGCCACCUGGACAGAUACUGACGCUGAGGUGCGAAAGCGUGGGGAGCAAACAGG